GAUGAACGCUGGCGGCGUGCCUAAUACAUGCAAGUCGAGCGAAUGGAUUAAGAGCUUGCUCUUAUGAAGUUAGCGGCGGACGGGUGAGUAACACGUGGGUAACCUGCCCAUAAGACUGGGAUAACUCCGGGAAACCGGGGCUAAUACCGGAUAACAUUUUGAACCGCAUGGUUCGAGAUUGAAAGGCGGCUUCGGCUGUCACUUAUGGAUGGACCCGCGUCGCAUUAGGUAGUUGGUGAGGUAACGGCUCACCAAGGCAACGAUGCGUAGCCGGCCUGGGAGGGUGAACGGCCACACUGGGACUGAGACACGGCCCAGACUCCUACGGGAGGCAGCAGUAGGGAAUCUUCCGCAAUGGACGAAAGUCUGACGGAGCAACGCCGCGUGAGUGAUGAAGGCUUUCGGGUCGUAAAACUCUGUUGUUAGGGAAGAACAAGUGCUAGUUGAAUAAGCUGGCACCUUGACGGUACCUAACCAGAAAGCCACGGCUAACUACGUGCCAGCCGCCGCUGUAA
rnacentral:rRNA from 1 species